rnacentral:tRNA from 1 species
AUCUGAAUAGUUUAAUGAAAAUUCUGGUUUGUGGGACCAGAGAUAUAAAAUAUUGUUUUAGAUC